AACGAACGCUGGCGGCAGGCUUAACACAUGCAAGUCGAAUGCAUCCUUCGGGGUGAGUGGCAGACGGGUGAGUAACGCGUGGGAACAUGCCCUUCAGUUUGGAAUAACCCAGGGAAACUUGGGCUAAUACCGGAUACGCCCUUAGGGGGAAAGAUUUAUCGCUGAAGGAGUGGCCCGCGUCUGAUUAGCUAGUUGGUGAGGUAAUGGCUCACCAAGGCGACGAUCAGUAGCUGGUCUGAGAGGAUGAUCAGCCACACUGGGACUGAGACACGGCCCAGACUCCUACGGGAGGCAGCAGUGGGGAAUAUUGGACAAUGGGCGCAAGCCUGAUCCAGCCAUGCCGCGUGAGUGAUGAAGGCCUUAGGGUUGUAAAGCUCUUUCGUCCGGGACGAUAAUGACGGUACCGGAAGAAGAAGCCCCGGCUAACUUCGUGCCAGCAGCCGCCGUAACAC
rnacentral:rRNA from 1 species